GCGAGAGUUCGCGUAGCCUACCAAGCGUACCAAUACCGUAAUUCAGCACACGAGUGCGUGAGGGUGGCGAGCCCCCCCCGCGCGCUCGUUUGCUGAGAUGCAGUGUUGGUUCGCUUGGUACGCCCCGUGCACUCUUGC
rfam:Phytophthora sojae unplaced genomic scaffold PHYSOscaffold_3, whole genome shotgun sequence.